rnacentral:misc_RNA from 1 species
UCCGAUUUGUCACCAGCAGUCUCCCUAGAGUGCCCUUGCGUAGCAACUAGGGACAAGGGUUGCGCUCGUUGCGGGACUUAACCCAACAUCUCACGACACGAACUGACGACAGCCAUGCAGCACCUGUGUUCCCGUUCCCUUUCGGGCACAGCGAGAUCUCUCUCGCCUCCAGGACAUGUCAAGGGUAGGUAAGGUUUUUCGCGUUGCACCGAAUUAAUCCACAUAAUCCACCGCUUGUGCGGGUCCCCGUCAAUUCCUUUGAGUUUUAAUCUUGCGACCGUACUCCCCAGGCGGAGAGCUUAAUGCGUUAGCUGCGCCACCGAACAGUAUACUGCCCGACGGCUAGCUCUCAUAGUUUACGGCGUGGACUAC